rnacentral:rRNA from 1 species
GACGAACGCUGGCGGCGUGCUUAACACAUGCAAGUCGAACGGUAAGGCCCUUCGGGGUACACGAGUGGCGAACGGGUGAGUAACACGUGGGUGAUCUGCCCUGCACUUCGGGAUAAGCCUGGGAAACUGGGUCUAAUACCGGAUAGGACCCUGGGAUGCAUGUCCUGGGGGGGAAAGCUUUUGCGGUGUGGGAUGGGCCCGCGGCCUAUCAGCUUGUUGGUGGGGUGAUGGCCUACCAAGGCGACGACGGGUAGCCGGCCUGAGAGGGUGACCGGCCACACUGGGACUGAGAUACGGCCCAGACUCCUACGGGAGGCAGCAGUGGGGAAUAUUGCACAAUGGGCGCAAGCCUGAUGCAGCGACGCCGCGUGAGGGAUGACGGCCUUCGGGUUGUAAACCUCUUUCAGCACCGACGAAGCGCAAGUGACGGUAGGUGCAGAAGAAGGACCGGCCAACUACGUGCCAGCAGCCGCAGUAA